UCGACUCACUACUGUAAGUCGCUCUGGAUAAGAGCAUCUGCUAAAUGAUAAUUU
rfam:Salmo salar isolate Sally breed double haploid chromosome ssa04, whole genome shotgun sequence.